UCAGUUGAAUGAAGCAGAGGGAGUGUAGAUAAGGAUGUGGUCGUGUCUUAUCUCAAACCCAAACCAAAAACCUGUGGAUGUAGUUGUUCUACGAGCCUCCAAACAAAUACAAAUACAAAUGCAACUCCACCCACCAACAGUUUCCUAAUACAAUUAAACACCUCUAUGAUUCUAUCUCUAUAUAAAGAGUCAAAGACCACCCUCUUCUUCAAACUUCAUCAUAUAUAUCUCUCUCCUUCUCUCUUCACACCCAACAUGGAGAAAGAUACCGAGGACACAAGGACUUUUGACAUGGAUGCACUCAGGACAAAUCUUCCACACAACAGGAGGGGACUGUCAAGGCAUUACUCGGGAAAAUCAAGAACAUUUACGUGCAUGGCAGAUGUUCAUUGCCUGGAGGAUUUGAAGAAACAAGAACACCCAGAUGCUAAGAAAAGGAAGAAAUAUUCGGAUAGGAAGAAGGGCGUCCACAUUUCGCCGUAUACGUGUAGAAGAGUAUCCAGUAGCACACAAUGUACUACACCUUAUGUUGGGGUGUAAAUAACUAAAUAUCAUUCAGAAAUGAAGGCAUAUAUAUCUUCAGAUAA